rnacentral:rRNA from 1 species
UACGAAGGGGGGCUAGCGUUGUUCGGAAUUACUGGGCGUAAAGCGCACGUAGGCGGAUCGAUCAGUCAGGGGUGAAAUCCCAGAGCUCAACUCUGGAACUGCCUUUGAUACUGUCGAUCUAGAGUAUGGAAGAGGUGAGUGGAAUUCCGAGUGUAGAGGUGAAAUUCGUAGAUAUCGAUAGGAACACUCGUGGCGAAGGCGAGUCACUGGACAACAUCUGACGCUGAGGCUCGAAGGCUAGGGGAGCAAAAGGG